rnacentral:rRNA from 1 species
UACGGAGGGAGCUAGCGUUGUUCGGAAUUACUGGGCGUAAAGCGCACGUAGGCGGCUUUGUAAGUUAGAGGUGAAAUCCCGGGGCUCAACCUCGGAACUGCCUUUGAUACUGCAAAUCUCGAGUCCGGAAGAGGUGAGUGGAAUUCCUAGUGUAGAGGUGAAAUUCGUAGAUAUUAGGAAGAACACCAGUGGCGAAGGCGGCUCACUGGUCCGGUACUGACGCUGAGGUGCGAAAGCGUGGGGAGCAAACAGG